CUAUGGGCGCCCUUCCCAGGGAAGUCCGAAAGGCACCUCGCCAAAAAACUUCUUCUGCAAAUACAAAUCGGGGCCCGGGGGGCGCGAAGUCUUAAAACCUCCCUGUUGUUUGCGCCCCCCCGGGAGAUAGCAUAUCAAUAAGCGGAGGAAAAGAAACCAACAGGGAUUGCCCCAGUAACGGCGAGUGAAGCGGCAACAGCUCAAAUUUGAAAUCUGGUCCCCAGGGCCCGAGUUGUAAUUUGCAGAGGAUGCUUUUGGCGAGGUGCCUUCCGAGUUCCCUGGAACGGGACGCCAUAGAGGGUGAGAGCCCCGUCUGGUCGGACACCGAGCCUCUGUAAAGCUCCUUCGACGAGUCGAGUAGUUUGGGAAUGCUGCUCUAAAUGGGAGGUAUAUGUCUUCUAAAGCUAAAUACUGGCCAGAGACCGAUAGCGCACAAGUAGAGUGAUCGAAAGAUGAAAAGCACUUUGAAAAGAGGGUUAAAUAGUACGUGAAAUUGUUGAAAGGGAAGCACUUGUGACCAGACUUGGCCCCGGUGAAUCAUCCAGCGGUUUUCGUUGGUGCACUUUGCCGGGAUCCAGGCCAGCAUCAGUUCGCUCUGGGGGAUAAAGGCUUUGGGAAUGUGGCUCCCUCGGGAGUGUUAUAGCCCACUGCGUAAUACCUUGUGGCGGGCUGAGGUUCGCGCUAUAUGCAAGGAUGCUGGCAUAAUGGUCAUCAGUGACCCGUCUUGAAACACGGACCAAGGAGUCGUCUUCGUAUGCGAGUGUUCGGGUGUCAAACCCCUACGCGUAAUGAAAGUGAACGCAGGUGAGAGCCCUCCAGGGCGCAUCAUCGACCGAUCCUGAUGUUCUCGGAUGGAUUUGAGUAAGAGCAUACGGGGCCGGACCCGAAAGAAGGUGAACUAUGCCUGUAUAGGGUGAAGCCAGAGGAAACUCUGGUGGAGGCUCGCAGCGGUUCUGACGUGCAAAUCGAUCGUCAAAUAUGGGCAUGGGGGCGAAAGACUAAUCGAACCUUCUAGUAGCUGGUUUCCGCGAUCUCUCCCCCCCGAAAGAUAAAAA
rnacentral:rRNA from 1 species